rnacentral:lncRNA from 1 species
CCAUGUUCAAACAGGACAACCCUUAGUAGUAGCUAAGAAUUAGAGUGUUUGACUCUAAUUCUGUAAAUAUUUGUGCAAAAAUCAUAUACAAAUGUGUAUGUGUAUGUAGAAUAUAACAUCGAUUUACCUCGGCACUUUGAGGAGUUUUUGGGCUUAAGGAAGAGCUCACCUUCUUCCAGAUCUGUUUCUUCAGGAAUGAGGAAAUGAUGGAAGCCCACAGGAAAUGUGUAGGGUUUAAGAGCUCGGGGGAGAAUCUAGGGGAAAGGAAGGGACUUGAUAGAGUUGUCAAAAAAUAAUUUCUCCAUUUUUCACCUCAGUUAAUCUACUCCUCUUGCACUUCAACACCCUCAGAACAUUUUUUUUCUCUGUUAUCCUCAAAUAUGGUUGUGUCCCUAGUAAUUAUUGAGGGAAGCUUUUCCCAGCAGCAACUCCUAGGUAAUCCACUGGUCUUGCAAUGGUGAGUUAAAGGAAGAAGUCAGGAGAUUGCCCUCAGUUGGUUAGGCUUAGUUUGCCAUGAUGUUACUUUUUGUUGAGGCAAAUGAGGUGGUGAGAGAUUUUUUAAAAUGUUUUCCCAGAUAUUGUAUGAUUUCAAUCAUAUAUGGAAUUUGAGAAAUUACGUAACAGAUGAACAUAGAGGAAGGGAAGGAAAAAUAAGAUAAAAACAGAGAGGGAGGCAAACCAUAAGAGACUCUUAAAUACAGAGAACAAACUGAGGGUUGAUGGGAGUAGGGGGUGGGUUAAAUGGGUGAGAGGCAUUAAGAAGGGCACUUUUUGGGAUGAGCACUGGAUGUCGUGUAAGAGAUGAAUCACUGGGUUCUACUCCUGAAGCCAAGAAUACACUGGAUGGUAACGAACUUGAGAACUAAAAAAAGUGUUUUCCCUAGUCUUGAAAUGUAUAUAAGGACAUCAUAGAUGCAAAUAGAGACACUGGAUUGCCAUAGUUCUUGUCCUUUCUUUACAAUACAAGGACACUCUUGCAAGGAGAGGAGAGUGCUGUCACCUACUGAACUGCUUCACAAGGAGAAGGCAGAAAAAAAAAAAGGUUGAUGUACACAUUAAAUUAGAAAGCGGCUUUGCACUAGAUCCAGCCCUACUUCCUCCACUUGAUGUAAUCCUGUCCUAUGCAUAGGUAAUUAAAACCUCCCACUAUUACUACCCUGCCCUUUUCUUGCUGUAUGUGUGUGCGGUAUUUCAUAGUUCAUUCUGCAGAGACAGACUAUAAUAUUACUGUUAGCACAUUCUAAACCAAUUUCUAAUACAUAACUCUCAGCCUCCGUCAUAGCUGGAUUCAGAAAACUAUCAUUCGGGAAUUGUCAAAUUUCCCAAUAAAUAAAGCCACGUAGCUUUUUCA